GCCUUCUCUCCUCCCACAAUCACUAGCUUGUCAUUCUUGACAAAUUUGAGCUUCUGGUGCAGAGUGGGAGUAACAGCCCAUGCCUCAUGAAUCCAUGGCCUUCCCAAUAAACAUUUGUAGGCCGGGUGAAUAUCCAUUACCUGGAAAGUAAUCUGAAAAUCACUCGGACCUAUCUUGACUAGAAGGUCCACUUCUCAAAUGACUGUCUUGCACGAGCCAUCGAAGGCUUUGACAAUUACUCCAAUAUA
rnacentral:lncRNA from 1 species